UACGUAGGGACCAAGCGUUGUUCGGAUUUACUGGGCGUAAAGCGUGCGCAGGCGGUUUUGUAAGCCAGAUGUGAAAUCCCCGGGCUCAACCUGGGAAUGGCAUUUGGGACUGCAAGGCUGGAGUACGGCAGAGGAGACGUGGAAUUCCUGGUGUAGCAGUGAAAUGCGUAGAUAUCAGGAGGAACACCGGUGGCGAAGGCGACUCAUCUGGCCCAAUACUGACGCUGAGGCGCGAAA
rnacentral:rRNA from 1 species